rnacentral:rRNA from 1 species
GACGAACGCUGGCGGCGUGCUUAACACAUGCAAGUCGAACGGAAAGGCCCUGCUCUUGUUGGGUUCUCGUUUGCCGAACGGGUGUGUAUCACGUGUGUAUCCUCCCCCUGUCUUUGUGAUAACUUCUCGAAACUGCGGCUAUUACCGCAUAUGAUCUCUUGCUGCAUGGUGUUGGUUGGUAAGUUUCGGUGGUUGUGUAUGUUCUCGCUGGUUCUCAGCUUCUUUGUGGAGUAGUGGCUUACCAAGGUUUUGACGGGUAGCCUGCCUGGGAGGGUAGCCAGCCACAAUGGGACUGAGAUAGGGCGCAGAAUCCUACGGGAGGCAGCAGUGGAGAAUAUUGCAGAAUGGGGCGAAGCCAGAUGCAGAAGCGCAGGGUGCGUGAUGACGGCCUUCGGGUGGUAAACAGAUGUGGAAUGAGACGAAGAGGGAGUGACGGUAAUGAGUAAAGAAGCAACGGCUAACUACGUG